GUGGGGAAUUUUGGACAAUGGGGGCAACCCUGAUCCAGCCAUGCCGCGUGCGGGAAGAAGGCCUUCGGGUUGUAAACCGCUUUUAGUCGGGAAGAAAAGGCGUCCACUAACACUGGGCGUUCUUGACGGUACCGGCGGAAUAAGCACCGGCUAACUACGUGCCAGCAGCCGCGGUAAUACGUAGGGUGCGAGCGUUAAUCGGAAUUACUGGGCGUAAAGCGUGCGCAGGCGGUUCGUUAAGUUUGCGGUGAAAGCCCCGGGCUCAACCUGGGAAUGGCCGUGGAAACUGGCGGGCUGGAGUGCGGCAGAGGGGGGUGGAAUUCCGCGUGUAGCAGUGAAAUGCGUAGAGAUGCGGAGGAACACCGAUGGCGAAGGCAGCCCCCUGGGCCGACACUGACGCUCAGGCACGAAAGCGUGGGGAGCAAACAGGAUUAGAAACCCCGGUAGUCC
rnacentral:rRNA from 1 species